GAAAUGCGAUAAGUAAUGUGAAUUGCAGAAUUCAGUGAAUCAUCGAAUCUUUGAACGCACAUUGCGCCCGCCAGUAUUCUGGCGGGCAUGCCUGUUCGAGCGUCAUUUCAACCAUCAAGCCCCCGGCUUGUGUUGGGGACCUGCGGCUGCCCGCAGGCCCUGAAAACCAGUGGCGGGCUCGCUGUCACACCGAGCGUAGUAGCAUACAUCUCGCUCAGGGCGUGCUGCGGGUUCCGGCCGUUAAAAGCCUUUUUUACCCAAGGUUGACCUCGGAUCAGGUAGGAAGACCCGCUGAACUUAAGCAU
rnacentral:misc_RNA from 1 species